UACGUAGGCAGCAAGCGUUGUUCGGAAUUACUGGGCGUAAAGAGUGUGUAGGCGGUGCUCCAAGUCUGGUGUGAAAUCUCCCGGCUCAACUGGGAGGGUGCGCUAGAAACUGGAAUGCUAGAGGAUGGGAGAGGUAAGCGGAAUUCCUGGUGUAGCGGUGAAAUGCGUAGAUAUCAGGAGGAACACCAAUAGCGAAGGCAGCUCGCUGGGACGUUACUGACGCUGAGGUGCGAAAGCGUGGGGAGCAAACAGG
rnacentral:rRNA from 1 species